AGCAAGUAACGUCUAAAUUAACUUUUUUUUGCUGAUGAACUGUAUAAAUGAGUGUCUAAUAGUGUUUUAAAUGUGUGUAUUCAUUAUUUUAGCAUUUUGGUGCAUUUUCUUAAAAAAUUAAAAAUUCUGCCUAAAUACCACAGUAUAGCUCCACCUUCAGCUUAAAACAUAGAAUUUGACUCAUUUUGAAUAAAUUUUAGCCAAUGGCUAAAGAGUAAGAUACUACGAAAUCCAGUAGAGUACUACGUAGCAGCUCUGUGUCAACGUUAUAAAAGCAUCGGGAGUCUCGGCCACGCCUUGUGGCGAGUUGGGAGUUGGAUUUGCAUGAGAGUGUAGGAGGCUAGCCGUAGUUCAGCAUUAGCAUAUAGCAUUAGCAUAUCCUAGUCUUUAGCAUAGCUUUUAGUGUUAUACAUACUUAUUUAGUGUUAGCUUGGCUGUUGGAUAUUGUAGUUUAGUUACUGUUUGGCUGUUAGUGUAAUUAGGAAAGUAGUUCGGGUUUAGUGCUCCAUAUCGUGUUAGCAUGGUGAGAUGGUGUAGUGUAGUAUGGUUGCGGAGCUCUGUCGGGUUGCACUCCUUUCCGCUGGACUUAGAAAUUAGGCGCCAGUGGUUGCGUGUCUGGAAAAGAUUCAGCUCCCGCCUGGUGCUGUAGUUUGCAACCAGCAUUUUACCCGCGAUUCUGCACGUCUCCGUUCCAAGAGGGAGGCUGUGCCCACCGUGGCUCUUCCGCGAUUUAGAUGCAGCCCACCGACUCUGCUCCCCCACCAUGACGGGCUACAGUCUGAGGCUAAAUCUACCCAAGACACUGGCUGUCAGACUGAUUUAGUAAUCUGCAAGAAUGCACUUGUCCAGGCUGACGUGGUGUUACCCGUAGCAAAGAGCUCACAGCCUCAGUGUCUUGUGACACAGGGACCAUGACAGAAAUUCAUCUUCCAGAAGGUCCCAGAGCAUCCACACCUCCUGAAAAGACCACGGUGUGAGGUGUCUGCUGUUGAUUCCAGCUUCCACCUGAGUGACAGUGCAAGCUCAGUGAACUGUUCAAGGUAAAAAAAAAUUAAAACAUUUCUGAAUUUUUAAGAUAUUAACAAUUAAAUAAGUAUGUGAUUACAUCAUGAAGGAGGCUACUGAUUCUGGCCCUGUGACACUUGGUGGUGACGUGUGAGCUGAUUCACCUGGUAAAUAACUUUUACAUUAAAUAUUUUGUUUUUGCUAUCAAAAGUAAAUUAACUAAUAACCUGCAUUAUUGCAGGACACUCAG